CCUACGGGUGGCAGCAGUGGGGAAUAUUGCGCAAUGGGCGAAAGCCUGACGCAGCGACGCCGCGUGAGGGAUGAAGGUCUUCGGAUCGUAAACCUCUGUCAGCAGGGAAGAACGGUCACUGUGCUAAUCAGCAGUGAAUUGACGGUACCUGCAAAGGAAGCACCGGCUAACUCCGUGCCAGCAGCCGCGGUAAUACGGAGGGUGCGAGCGUUAAUCGGAAUUACUGGGCGUAAAGCGAGCGUAGGCGGUAUGUCAAGUCAAGGGUGAAAUCCCCGCGCUCAACGUGGGAACUGCCUUUGAAACUGGCAAACUGGAGUGUGUGAGAGGAUAGUGGAAUUCCAGGUGGAGGAGUGAAAGCCGUAGAUAUCUGGAGGAACAUCAGUGGCGAAGGCGACUAUCUGGCACAUAACUGACGCUGAGGAGCGAAAGCGUGGGUAGCAAACAGGAUUAGAUACCCCAGUAGUC
rnacentral:rRNA from 1 species